rnacentral:rRNA from 1 species
AGUCGAGCGGUAGAGAGGUGCUUGCACCUCUUGAGAGCGGCGGACGGGUGAGUAAUACCUAGGAAUCUGCCUGGUAGUGGGGGAUAACGUUCGGAAACGGACGCUAAUACCGCAUACGUCCUACGGGAGAAAGCAGGGGACCUUCGGGCCUUGCGCUAUCAGAUGAGCCUAGGUCGGAUUAGCUAGUUGGUAAGGUAAUGGCUCACCAAGGCUACGAUCCGUAACUGGUCUGAGAGGAUGAUCAGUCACACUGGAACUGAGACACGGUCCAGACUCCUACGGGAGGCAGCAGUGGGGAAUAUUGGACAAUGGGCGAAAGCCUGAUCCAGCCAUGCCGCGUGUGUGAAGAAGGUCUUCGGAUUGUAAAGCACUUUAAGUUGGGAGGAAGGGCAUUAACCUAAUACGUUAGUGCUUUGACGUUACCGACAGAAUAAGCACCGGCUAACUCUGUGCCAGCAGCCGCGGUAAUACAGAGGGUGCAAGCGUUAAUCGGAAUUACUGGGCGUAAAGCGCGCGUAGGUGGUUUGUUAAGUUGAAUGUGAAAUCCCCGGGCUCAACCUGGGAACUGCAUCCAAAACUGGCAAGCUAGAGUAUGGUAGAGGGUGGGUGGAAUUUCCUGUGUAGCGGUGAAACGCGUAGAUAUAGGAAGGAACACC